rnacentral:lncRNA from 1 species
AUAAAAAGUGUAAUAAAAGGACAUUUUUUUUAUACGUUAAGCAUGUCACACAAUGCAGAAUGUUCAGUGUUAUGGAGAUCUCAUUGCAUGAAAUGUUUCGGUGAAGAUUUUAUUUCUUGGUAUGUGGACAGUAAGCCAUGCCACAUCCUUUUAGUCAAAUAGAAACAUAUAUUGUCAAAUGUACAUCUUGUAAACUGUCUGCAGUUCCAGCAAUGACAUAACCGAUGGGAGCACCUUGCAAUACACAACAGAAAAAGUACAAGCUUUAACUCCGCACUUCAGAAGGAUUGCUUAAAAAACAAAAAAAGCAAAUCUUAAUGUCAAGGACAUUUUGAAUUGUACCAUUUUCAGUGGCUAGACAGGUAAGAUGGACAUCAUUCCAGUCCCUUUGAUUUCUAGAGUUUGUGCCGGCCCUUUGGAUAUCAGUAAGUCAACAGACAACAUUCAAGCGUUCUCAACCUGAAAUGUCCGAGGCUGAAUGGCCGGUGUGGUCCUCUGAUCGCUGACCCUCCUCAGUCAGAGGGAAGCGAUGGGAAUUCAUCCCUCAUCCACCCCUCUUCUGGGCUCAACGGAGGCUGCUCUUAAACCAGGUGCCUUAAGUUCAACGCCCCUAAGAGACACCAGGCCCCCUCCCCGGGAUGGGCACUUACCCCAUCCGUGGUCUUCCUCCUCUUCUUCUUGGUCGGCACAAGGGACUUGCCGCUGACCGUCCAGCUCCAGAAGACUUUGUAGUGGUGCACCGGGAUGUCUGGUUCCUCGGGGACAUCCCACGUGAUGGUCACAGCCACGCUGCCAUCACUGUGGACGGUGGAGUUCGCCAGCCGGAGGUUGGCUGGGGCCGGGGGUGCAGACGGAUCUGAAAUCACAGGAGACAGAGUUCAGUUUUGAGGAUGACCACAAACGCACCAUGGACUCCAUGGACAGGAGUUUGAGCAAACUCCGGGAGACGGUGAAGGACACGGGAGCCUGGCGUGCUGCCAUCCGUGGGGUUGCAGACAUGACUGAGCAACUGAACAACAACCACGGAAGCGCCAUUUCUGCACAUGUGACGACUGCAGGGUCAGCACAGGAACAUUGCCCUUUAUAUGUAGGAUACUUGAAAACAAGCACUUUGGUUCAGUUCAGUCGCUUAAUCACGUCCAACUCUUUGCGACCCCACGGACCACAGCACGCCAGGCCUCCCUGUCCAUCACCAACUCCCG